CCUACGUGAGGCAGCAGUGAGGAAUAUUGGUCAAUGGGCGCGAGCCUGAACCAGCCAAGUAGCGUGAAGGAUGACUGCCCUACGGGUUGUAAACUUCUUUUAUAAAGGAAUAAAGUGAGGCACGUGUGCCUUUUUGUAUGUACUUUAUGAAUAAGGAUCGGCUAACUCCGUGCCAGCAGCCGCGGUAAUACGGAGGAUCCGAGCGUUAUCCGGAUUUAUUGGGUUUAAAGGGAGCGUGGAUGGGUUGUUAAGUCAGUUGUGAAAGUUUGCGGCUCAACCGUAAAAUUGCAAUUGAUACUGGCAGUCUUGAGGACAGUUGAGGUAGGCGGAAUUCGUGGUGUAGCGGUGAAAUGCUUAGAUAUCACGAAGAACUCCGAUUGCGAAGGCAGCUUACUAAACUGCCACUGACAUUGAUGCUCGAAAGUGUGGGUAUCAAACAGGAUUAGAUACCCUAGUAGUC
rnacentral:rRNA from 1 species